GAUGAACGCUAGCGGCAGGCUUAAUACAUGCAAGUCGAGGGGCAGCAGGUUUGUAGCAAUACAGAUGCUGGCGACCGGCAAACGGGUGCGGGACACGUACAGAACCUUCUGUUAAGUGGGGAAUAGCCCAGGGAAACUUGGAUUAAUACCCCGUAAUAUAUAGAAGUGGCAGCACUUUUAUAUUAUAGCUCCGGCGCCUAAAGAUGGCUGUGCGGCUGAUUAGGUAGUUGGCGGGGUAACGGCCCACCAAGCCUGCGAUCCGUAACUGGUGUGAGAGCACGACCAGUCACACGGGCACUGAGACACGGUCCCGACUCCUACGGGAGGCAGCAGUAAGGAAUAUUGGGCAAUGGACGCAAGUCUGACCCAGCCAUGCCGCGUGAAGGAUGAAGGUCCUCUGGAUUGUAAACUUCUUUUAUCUGGGACGAAAAAAGGUCUUUCUAGAUCGUCUGACGGUACCAGAGGAAUAAGCACCGGCUAACUCCGUGCCAGCCGCCGCAGUAAAAC
rnacentral:rRNA from 1 species